rnacentral:hammerhead_ribozyme from 1 species
GUCCAGCUGACGAAUUUCAAUAGGACGAAACGCGCUUCCUGGAU